rnacentral:rRNA from 1 species
GCUUUGGGGCUCCGAGCGGCGACGGGUGAGUAACACGUGGGUGAUCUGCCUCGCACUCUGGGAUAAGCCUGGGAAACUGGGUCUAAUACCGGAUAUGACCUUACAUCGCAUGGUGUUUGGUGGAAAGAUUUAUCGGUGCGAGAUGGGCCCGCGGCCUAUCAGCUUGUUGGUGGGGUAAUGGCCUACCAAGGCGACGACGGGUAGCCGGCCUGAGAGGGCGACCGGCCACACUGGGACUGAGACACGGCCCAGACUCCUACGGGAGGCAGCAGUGGGGAAUAUUGCACAAUGGGCGAAAGCCUGAUGCAGCGACGCCGCGUGAGGGAUGACGGCCUUCGGGUUGUAAACCUCUUUCGACAGGGACGAAGCGCAAGUGACGGUACCUGUAGAAGAAGCACCGGCCAACUACGUGCCAGCAGCCGCGGUAAUACGUAGGGUGCGAGCGUUGUCCGGAAUUACUGGGCGUAAAGAGCUUGUAGGCGGCUUGUCGCGUCGAUCGUGAAAACUUGGGGCUCAACCCCAAGCUUGCGGUCGAUACGGGCAGGCUUGAGUACUUCAGGGGAGACUGGAAUUCA